rnacentral:rRNA from 1 species
CCUACGGGAGGCAGCAGUGGGGAAUAUUGCACAAUGGGGGAAACCCUGAUGCAGCGACGCCGCGUGAGUGAAGAAGUAAUUCGUUACGUAAAGCUCUAUCAGCAGGGGAGAAACACUGACCUUACGGUCAGCAGACGGUAUCUGAGUAAGAAGCCCCGGCUAACUACGUGCGAGCAGCCGCGGGAAUACGUAGGGGGCAAGCGUUAUCCGGAUUUACUGGGUGUAAAGGGAGCGUAGACGGUGCGCCAAGUCUGGAGUGAAAUGCCGCGGCUUAACUGCGGAACUGCUUUUGAUACUGGCGAACUAGAGUGCGGGAGGGGUAAGCGGAAUUCCUAGUGUAGCGGUGAAAUGCGUAGAUAUUAGGAGGAACACCGGUGGCGAAGGCGGCUUACUGGACCGUAACUGACGUUGAGGCUCGAAAGCGUGGGGAGCAAACAGGAUUAGAUACCCUUGUAGUC